rnacentral:rRNA from 1 species
GACGAACGCUGGCGGCGUGCUUAACACAUGCAAGUCGAACGGAAAGGCCCUGCUUUUGUGGGGUGCUCGAGUGGCGAACGGGUGAGUAACACGUGAGUAACCUGCCCUUGACUUUGGGAUAACUUCAGGAAACUGGGGCUAAUACCGGAUAGGAGCUCCUGCUGCAUGGUGGGGGGUGGAGAGUUUCGGCGGUUGGGGAUGGACUCGCGGCUUAUCAGCUUGUUGGUGGGGUAGUGGCUUACCAAGGCUUUGACGGGUAGCCGGCCUGAGAGGGUGACCGGCCACAUUGGGACUGGGAUACGGCCCAGACUCCUACGGGAGGCAGCAGUGGGGAAUAUUGCACAAUGGGCGGAAGCCGGAUGCAGCAACGCCGCGUGCGGGAUGACGGCCUUCGGUUUGUAAACCGCUUUCGCCGGUGACGAAGCGUGAGUGACGGUAAUGGGUAAAGAAGCACCGGCUAACUACGUG